GUCUACGGCCAUGCCACCCUGAACAUGCCCGAUCUCGUCUCAUCUUGGAAGCUAAACUGGGUUGGGCCUGGUUAGUACUUGGAUGGGAGACCACCUAGGAAGAUCAGGUGCUGUAGGCA
rnacentral:rRNA from 1 species